rnacentral:rRNA from 1 species
UGAGGAAUAUUGGUCAAUGGGCGUAAGCCUGAACCAGCCAAGUCGCGUGAGGGAAGACGGCCCUACGGGUUGUAAACCUCUUUUGCCGGGGAGCAAGGGACCGGUCGUGCACCGGUUUCGGAGAGUACCCGGAGAAAAAGCAUCGGCUAACUCCGUGCCAGCAGCCGCGGUAAUACGGAGGAUGCGAGCGUUAUCCGGAUUUAUUGGGUUUAAAGGGUGCGUAGGCGGCAGCCUAAGUCAGCGGUAAAAUUGCGGCGCUCAACGCCGCCGAGCCGUUGAAACUGGGCAGCUCGAGUGGGCGAGAAGUAUGCGGAAUGCGUGGUGUAGCGGUGAAAUGCAUAGAUAUCACGCAGAACCCCGAUUGCGAAGGCAGCAUACCGGCGCCCAACUGACGCUGAGGCACGAAAGCGUGGGUAUCGAACAGG